CAACAACAAACACUGAGGAGGAGAAGGAACUUGGGGCCAGGCAGCAGCAGGCGGGGAAUGCAGCUGGGCUCUUCCUCUUGGCUAAAAACUCCAGGCCCCUUUCACUCCUCCUCCUGCUGCUGCUGCUACUCCUGCCAGGGGAGACAUGAGCGCCCCUUGGAAGCGGGCGCUGUGGCCUGGACUCCUGGGCCUCUCCAGGCGCCUGAGCCGGGCUUGGAAGGCGGGCACCCGGCCCCCCUCUCGCCCUCUCCCCUCCUCCUCCUCCUCCGCCGAAGGGGGACUCUUUUGCCACUAUGAGGCCGCUUUCAAGGCCUCGGUGGAGGAGCCCGAGAAGCUCUGGGCAGAGGCGUCUCGGGGCAUCGACUGGCACAAGCCCUGGGCCACAGCCAUGCAGAGGGAAGGGCCCCUCCGCGCCUCCUGGUUUGUUGGGGGAGAGGUGAAUAUUUGUUAUAACGCUGUAGAUCGGCAUGUUAAAAAUGGACAAGGCGAUCAGAUUGCCAUCAUACAUGACAGUCCUGUAACAAAUACCAAAGAGUUUAUAACAUACAAAGAACUUCUUCAUCAGGUCUCCAAGCUAGCUGGUGUCAUGAUGAGCCAUGGCGUAAAGAAGGGGGACUGUGUGGUCAUCUAUAUGCCAAUGAUUCCACAGACGAUGUACACUAUGCUGGCAUGUGCGAGAAUAGGAGCUAUACACAGUCUCAUUUUUGGUGGAUUUGCUUCAAAAGAGCUUUCUAGUCGCAUUGAUCAUGCCAAGCCCAAACUGAUUGUAACAUCAACGUUUGGAAUAGAACCUGGAAGAAAAGUUGAAUAUAUACCACUUUUAGAAAAAGCCCUGGAGAUGAUAAAGCACCAGCCUGAAAGAGUUCUGAUUUACAGCCGCCCUAACAUGGAGGCUGCCUCUCUGAAACCAGGACGUGAUCUGGAUUGGCAUGAAGAAAUAGCAAAAGCAAAGCCAUGUGACUGCAUCCCUGUGCUUUCAGACCAUCCUCUUUAUAUUCUUUAUACAUCAGGAACAACUGGCACACCCAAGGGUGUUGUUAGACCAACAGGUGGCUAUGCAGUUAUGCUAAACUGGACCAUGUCAGCUAUAUAUGGCCUUCAGCCUAAAGAGGUCUGGUGGGCAGCAUCUGAUUUAGGGUGGGUAGUUGGCCAUUCUUAUAUAUGUUAUGGACCUCUUCUGCAUGGGAAUACAACAGUUUUGUAUGAGGGGAAACCUGUAGGGACUCCAGAUGCAGGUGCUUUUUUUCGUGUGCUGGCAGAGCAUGGAGUGACUGCCUUCUUUACUGCACCAACUGCAAUUAGAGCAAUCCGUCAACAGGACCCCGAGGCUACGUUGGGGAAACGGUACAUUCUGACAAGGUUCCGAACAUUGUUUGUAGCUGGUGAACGCUGUGAUGUGGAUACAUUGCAGUGGUGCAAAGAUAUCUUCAAGGUACCGGUUUUGGAUCAUUGGUGGCAAACUGAAACAGGAUCUCCAAUAACAGCUUCCUGCAUUGGCUUGGGAAACUCUUUAACACCACCCCCAGGACAGACAGGAAAACCAGUUCCAGGAUACAAUGUGAUGAUUCUGGAUGACAACAAGCAACUUGUAAAAACGAAGACUUUAGGAAACAUUGUGGUGAAGUUGCCUUUGCCUCCAGGAGCCUUUUUGGGUCUUUGGAAAAAUGAGGCUCUUUACAAGGAAUUAUAUUUCCAAAAAUUUCCGGGGUACUAUGAUACUAUGGAUGCAGGUUACAUGGAUGAAGAGGGCUAUUUGUAUGUCAUGUCUCGAGUAGAUGAUGUAAUUAAUGUUGCAGGUCAUAGGAUUUCAGCGGGUGCAAUUGAAGAGGCUGUUUUGUCCCAUAGUGCUGUGGCAGACUGUGCUGUUGUUGGUCAAGAGGAUUCCUUAAAGGGCCAUGUGCCACUGGCAAUGUGUGUCUUGAGAAAUGGAGUGAAUGUGGAAGAAGAAAAACUCUUGGAAGAAAUAGUUAAGAGAGUUAGAGAAAAUAUUGGCCCCGUGGCUGCAUUUCGGAAAGCAAUAUUUGUGAAACAGAUACCGAAGACUCGCUCUGGCAAGAUACCACGGUCGACUCUUUCUUCUGUAGUGAAUGGAAAACCAUACAAGAUAAGUCCAACCAUUGAGGAUCCUGCUGUGUUCAAACAUGUUGAAGAAGUGCUGAAGACUAAAUUGAAGUAAUAGCUGUUUGAAUUUGAGCAAUACCAUAUUAUCGUUGGACUUUUACAAAGUUUUUCUUCAUCUUGAUUUUAAAAAGGAGAGCCAUCACAGUGCUUUUUACAGAUAUUCACUAACAGUGUGUAAAUAUUUUAUAUGCUAAAUGGAACCAGAGACUAAGUUGGGUUUGCUGAGUACAACUGGAAUGUUCUGUUGUGCAGAGCAACAGAUCACACAAGUAUCUUUCAUUUUCAAAGUGUUAAUGUCAUACCAUCAGUUGCCAUUUUUCGUGACUGUCCUGAUGUUGUAGUUAACCUGAAUCCAGCUGGCAGUGUUUCUGAAGAGCCAGGCAUCAUGCUGAUCCCAUGGACUUCACGUGGAGGAAAUUGUCUUCGCCAGGAAGAACCACGCCUGUAAUUCUUGUCAUCACUCUGUUGAUUCAGAAGUGUAUGAAUUUUACUAAAACAUUACAUGUGUUAGUUGGCCAUUCCUAAAUGUUUGCCACUACAAAAUGGAUUUUUAUCUGUUUCCAAUGUGUUAUUUAAAAUAUAAGUGAUCAAAACAGGGAAAUUGGUACCUCGUUUUAGAUUGGGCAGUGUUUUCUUUAUCAUCUCUUUUAAGUAAAACCUAAUAUAAUGCCCCACAUGGGCCAUGGUUACAUAUGUUAUAUGUCUAGGCAUGCAGUGAAGAAGUGAAUGCCUUCAAAUGACAUUGCAGUGCAGGAUCUCCUAUGUUGCAAGCCAUCAUUAGGCCACCAAAGUAGAAAAAUUCUGACUGGAAUGUUGGGGAGAUCCCAAAUUGCCCAUUCCUAAUCUAGGCAAUCAUUAUAUUAUCCUUGAGUAUUAUCUGUUAAAUUUGAAAUACAGUAAAGUGUGUGUGUGAUUAUUUAAGUAUGUGUAUCUUUUAAUCCACUGUAACAAAUGUAAUAAGCUUGUUUUGGUCAUCAUUAAUUCUAGGUUCUUAUUUCUAAUACUGCUUGUGUGUUACAAUCUUCAUGUAUGUUAAAUGUUGGCAGCCUAGAGCUACUGAAAUCCCAAACAGCUUAACCAUUUAUAAAUCCUCUAUCAAAUGUCACAAGUGAUGUUACCGACAAAGAUCUUGUGAAGCAGUCUUGCCACAUUUAUUCAUUGUAGGUCAUCCUGCAUCUCUUCUGAAUCAAUUUGGCUAGAUCCUAUUCUACACUAACGUUAGCAUAACUAUGAUGAUUAAUUUCACCCCAUGUUUUCCUACUUUGAUGGAACAUGUGUAGUUCAAAUGUUAUUAUGUCAUUUUAGUGAAUAAAUCAUGAAUAUAUUGGGGGAAAAUAUCUGCAAUUCCUUGUGAGUAUGCAUCAAAUACUUGUUGAUGUUUGCAGUUCAAAGCAUGGUAUGUAUCAAUAAGAAUGCUUACUUCAUCAAGUCGUCUAUCUGUUCCUAGUGCCAAUAGAUUGUUGUAUUCUCUCUCAAGGAUCUGUCGUGCCUAAGAUUAAUCAAACAAUGUAAGUAAUAUAACAGGGGAAAAAUCUGCAGGAAUUAAUUAUAAUAAGCUGCUCAUUUACCUACCUGUGUAUUCUGUGUUGGGAUCUGCAAUAAUAAAGCUAAACUACUGUAAUCAAAGUUA